rnacentral:rRNA from 1 species
GUGGAUUAGAUACCCUGGUAGUCCACGCCGUAAACGAUGAUGACUAGCUGUCGGGGCUCUUAGAGUUUCGGUGGCGCAGCUAACGCGUUAAGUCAUCCGCCUGGGGAGUACGGCCGCAAGGUUAAAACUCAAAGAAAUUGACGGGGGCCUGCACAAGCGGUGGAGCAUGUGGUUUAAUUCGAAGCAACGCGCAGAACCUUACCAGCGUUUGACAUGGUAGGACGGUUACUGGAGACAGUUUCCUUCCCUUACGGGACCUACACACAGGUGCUGCACGGUCGUCGUCAGCU